CAGUCGACGAACUCUGGUAUUGAUUGGUGCUUGCAUCAUGAUUUACAUUUGAGUGAGUGGCGAACUGGUGAGUAACACGUGGGAAACCUGCCCAGAAGCGGGGGAUAACACCUGGAAACAGAUGCUAAUACCGCAUAACAACUUGGACCGCAUGGUCCGAGUUUGAAAGAUGGCUUCGGCUAUCACUUUUGGAUGGUCCCGCGGCGUAUUAGCUAGAUGGUGGGGUAACGGCUCACCAUGGCAAUGAUACGUAGCCGACCUGAGAGGGUAAUCGGCCACAUUGGGACUGAGACACGGCCCAAACUCCUACGGGAGGCAGCAGUAGGGAAUCUUCCACAAUGGACGAAAGUCUGAUGGAGCAACGCCGCGUGAGUGAAGAAGGGUUUCGGCUCGUAAAACUCUGUUGUUAAAGAAGAACAUAUCUGAGAGUAACUGUUCAGGUAUUGACGGUAUUUAACCAGAAAGCCACGGCUAACUACGUGCCAGCAGCCGCGGUAAUACGUAGGUGGCAAGCGUUGUCCGGAUUUAUUGGGCGUAAAGCGAGCGCAGGCGGUUUUUUAAGUCUGAUGUGAAAGCCUUCGGCUCAACCGAAGAAGUGCAUCGGAAACUGGGAAACUUGAGUGCAGAAGAGGACAGUGGAACUCCAUGUGUAGCGGUGAAAUGCGUAGAUAUAUGGAAGAACACCAGUGGCGAAGGCGGCUGUCUGGUCUGUAACUGACGCUGAGGCUCGAAAGUAUGGGUAGCAAACAGGAUUAGAUACCCUGGUAGUCCAUACCGUAAACGAUGAAUGCUAAGUGUUGGAGGGUUUCCGCCCUUCAGUGCUGCAGCUAACGCAUUAAGCAUUCCGCCUGGGGAGUACGGCCGCAAGGCUGAAACUCAAAGGAAUUGACGGGGGCCCGCACAAGCGGUGGAGCAUGUGGUUUAAUUCGAAGCUACGCGAAGAACCUUACCAGGUCUUGACAUACUAUGCAAAUCUAAGAGAUUAGACGUUCCCUUCGGGGACAUGGAUACAGGUGGUGCAUGGUUGUCGUCAGCUCGUGUCGUGAGAUGUUGGGUUAAGUCCCGCAACGAGCGCAACCCUUAUUAUCAGUUGCCAGCAUUAAGUUGGGCACUCUGGUGAGACUGCCGGUGACAAACCGGAGGAAGGUGGGGAUGACGUCAAAUCAUCAUGCCCCUUAUGACCUGGGCUACACACGUGCUACAAUGGAUGGUACAACGAGUUGCGAACUCGCGAGAGUAAGCUAAUCUCUUAAAGCCAUUCUCAGUUCGGAUUGUAGGCUGCAACUCGCCUACAUGAAGUCGGAAUCGCUAGUAAUCGCGGAUCAGCAUGCCGCGGUGAAUACGUUCCCGGGCCUUGUACACACCGCCCGUCACACCAUGAGAGUUUGUAACACCCAA
rnacentral:rRNA from 1 species